AUGUCUUGCUACUUGUGUCCCCCUAACACGUCUCUCCUCAUCAGGAAUGUGGCCGAUGACACCAGGUCUGAAGAUUUACAGUGUGAAUUUGGUCGUUAUGGUCCUAUAGUUGAUGUGUAUGUUCCACUUGAUUUCUGCACUCACCGUCCAAGAUUUGCUUAUGGUCAACUUGAGGAUGUUUGUGAUGCUGAAGAUGCUUUACAUAAUUUGGACAGAAAGUGGAUUUGUGGACGGCAGAUUGAAAUACAGUUUGUCCAGGGCAUUGGAAGACACCAAAUCAAAUGAAAGCCAAGGAAGGGAGGAAUGUGUACAGUUCUUCACACUAUGAUGAUUAUGACAGAUACGGACAUUCUAGAAGCUGAAGUUAUGAAAGAAAAUCAAGAAGUCAGUCUUUUGAUAACAGUUUAAAAGAUUGUAUCUAGAAAUAGACUGACUGGAAGACCACGGCAUAGCAGAAGCCAUUCUGACAAUGACAGGCCAAACUGCAGCUGGAAUACCCAGUACAGUUCUGCUUACUACACUUAA
rnacentral:lncRNA from 1 species